GCCGGGGUGGCGGAAGUGGCAGACGCAGCGGACUUAAAAUCCGCUGAGCCUUUGGCUCGUGCCGGUUCAAGUCCGGCCCUCGGCA
rnacentral:tRNA from 2 species